rnacentral:lncRNA from 1 species
AGGACACUCGCAGCUCCAUCAGGUUGCCCAGAGCCUGGUCCAGCCUGGCCUUGAAAGUCUCCAGGAUUGGGGCAUCUACCACAUCCCUGAGCAGCCUGUGCCAGUGCCUCACCACCCUCACUGUGUUCCAUAACUUUAUCCAAGCUUCAGCACAGACAAAGUUCUUUCCUCAGUCACAUAAGGACCAGCACAGCUUCUUCUUCCUCCCCCGUGCCUUUGUAGCAGCACCCACCACUGGAAGGAAGACACAACAAGAUGCCCUGUGAUAGCUCACAGGGAUGUCUGCCCUGGUCGCAGCCCCCAGCCCCAUGCCAGGUCUCAGGGAGGAAAGGCACAGUGAGCAAUUACCAACUGCCUGCCAGGGGGUUUCAUACAAUGCAAAAGAGCGGCACUCCAGCCAACCCCUAAGUCAUCCAUCUUCAGGUCCAGAGAAGAGGACGACUGUUGUUUCUCUCUCCUUAAAAUUCUCCUAUCUCUUUGCUGAGCUUCUGGCCAUAUUUCACACUGGCGAAGAAGAGCUGCCUGAGAAGUGAGGUGAGCAGUUAAAGUGGCCUGAUGAUGAGAUGCAUCCUGAACACUGCUGUGCUCUUCUGCUGUCAUGGGACAAUGUCUCUUGGGUAAUUUUUUACUAUGUCAAGGGCACUUGAAGCAUACAGUCGUGGGCAAGGCUUUAGCAAAUGCAAAAAAAAAAAAACAACCAAACAACAACAACAACAAAACAAACAGUAAAUAAACGUGUAGUAUUACUGUACUAGAAGAAAUAA